CUUAUCAAGAGUGGCGGAGGGAACAGGCCCUGUGAUGCCCGGCAACCUGCUUUUUGCAAGGUGCCAAUUCCUGCGGUGAAACCGACAGAUGAGG
rnacentral:ncRNA from 1 species